AGGCGGAACGCGCAGGCGCAGACGGCCGGCUUCGGAAAGCCGCGCAUGCGCACAGGGCCGGGCCCCUCCCCAAUGCCGGUUCCACAGCUGUCAUGCUACCUUUAGGGGCCACCCCGGCCCGGGUGACACCGGGGUUGACGUGGGACAAAACCCCAAAGGACCGAGUGCGCCGUCACAGUUUCACCACGAAUGGAAUCCGAGAAGAUUGGCUCUGAGAUGGCGUUUCCGUCCGCUGUGACAGAAUAUCCCCGACCGGGUGGCUCACGAACGAUUUUGUCCUUGCAGUUCUAGAGGCCGGGAAGUCCAAGAUCAAGGUGCCCGCGGAUUUGUUGUCCGCUGAGAUCCAGCUUCUCCAUUCAAAGAUGGCGCCUUGUCCUUGUGUCUCCGUGGGAUGGCACAAGGCGAGGGGAAAACGCCGUGUCACCACCCUUUUAUAAGGACAUUAAUCCUGUUGGCGAUGGCAAUGGCCUCGUGGUCUCAUUAAUUCCCAAAGGCCCCCCCCCGCUGGGGGUUAGGUUUCAACAGAUGAAUUUCGGGGUGGGGGAUUGAAACAUUCCGUCUGUAGCAAUGAUAUAGGCGGGUGACCCAACAGGGUGACAAAUGUUUGCAGACCUCGGAGAGAAGGAGCCAGUCGGUAGCGCCCGGAAGAGCAGAGUUGGGUGGGAUUGGGGGGCCUUUGGGGAGCAGGUCCCAAGGGAGAGCCCGUGUCCCCUGUUAGCUUCAAGCUGCCCCUCCCGGCGGGUGGGCCCCGUGGUGUGACAUCCCAGCUCAAGGAGCAAUUGUCUCUUCCCUGGGUAGAUGCCAGCGUGAGUGGCUCAGCCUUUUGGCUCGAGCUGAGCACGCUGUUUUCCAAAGCGCUUUAUAAAUGUCCCCUGAUUCAUCGGUCCAGACAGCAGGUGACCGUCCCGGUGCACACGGUGUGUGCGAGCCCCAGGUGCAGAGAGAGGACCCAGCCUCGGCCGAGUGACAGGGUCCCGGGGGCUGGGGGACCCGCUCUGCAGCCAGUGCGUGUGUGACAUUGGGCGAGUCCCUUCCCUUUCCGGGCCUCGAGUCUUGCUGCACACCACAGACGUCUGAGGGUCACCUAGCAUUGACACACCGGGGUUCUGGGGACAGUCACACAGGGAGGGUCUCAGUGGAGGGAGGGAGGAGGGCACAUUUUUGGUUUUUUAUUCCCCCAGAUUCCUGUUUCUCGCCAGUGCUGGGGAUGAGGCAGGUCUGAGGUCCCCGUCGUGGGUUUCCCGGCUGCCUGGAGAUGGGGUCUCGCUACAUUGGCCAGUCUGGUCUCG